UGAUUUCUUCUUCUUGUUCUUCUUCUUAC
rnacentral:sRNA from 1 species